rnacentral:lncRNA from 1 species
GCAAACUAAAUUAUUCUGUGUGCAAUAUCCCUGAUUAAAUAUCCAAUCAUUAUGUUCAAACAGCCAGGACAGAUCACACAACUUACACAUAUGUUCAAUCAGAUUACAUGUAAGACCUCAUGCAAUAACAUAAAUAGACCAAAAACAUAUGUUUUUAACACAUGCAUGAACCAUACAUAUAUAGACAUUAUGCCUCAAAAUGCAAAGUACAUAUGUUUAAGGUAAAGAAAUCGUGCCACACAACCAAAAUUGGCAUACAAUGGCUUGUCUGCUGAAACAACCACCAAAAUGACCAGUGUAAAACUUGUCAAUAUAUGGAGGUUCGACAAACAAGACAUAUUACAUAUAUAUCAUCACUCCAGCAACUUGUCAGACCUUCAAAACCUCCAGCAACUUGUACAUCUUCCAAACCUCCAACAACUUGUGUAUCUUGAGAAACCUGCAACAAAUCAGAAACUCAUUAAAUGGUACUAUCGUUUCAGAUUUUAAAUCAACAUAUUAAAAUUUUGAUGUGCUGCAGUUUAACGUCAGCAUAUAACUCUUCUGAAUGUUAUGCACUUCAUCAUCACAACAAGUAGUGAUUAUUACGCACAUAAUUAGAUCAAACAGAAAUUAUUUGCGCUUCACAUACAUAAAUCUUCCAUGGGCUAAUAUGACAAAACAAGAAUGUGUAACAUUGUUGCUUGCUUCACUAAACUGUAUAGUCCAAGCUCACCCAAGAAAUAGAUUGCACUAAUUUUAUCAGUAAACUUUCAGAUCUGAUAUGAAAGAGUCAACCUAGAACAAAAUAAAGAAUCCACAGAACAAAUUUGAAAAACCAGAGGACUGUACAACAAAAAAUCAAAGUUGAAGAUGCAUAUUACCUCCUCAACUGGCUUGUGGUCACAUUACUGCAUUUGCUAGACUUAUACACUUGCAGCUGCAUACAUACAAGCAGACUUUUAAGAUGUAAAAAUAAAUUGAGAGCAAGCAUUGAGCAUCCAAAAAAAAUUGUAACCACCCAAGCCAGGGUAAUAUUUUGUGCCUGGCCAAAUAUUUGGCAUCAUGGAUCUGGUCACAAAACAAGCACAUUGAUAGAUCAUUAAUGCGUGAUAUGGUCAAGAUUUUACAUACCUUAAAUGAGUCUUUCAGCUACUCUUUGAGGCCCAUAACAUGAGGGAUGAUAAUUUGGAUCAGCGGAAACUGUUCAGGGACGCCAAAAGAAUCUCGAGACAGUAAAAUGUAUCAACUCUCAGAGGUAACUGACAAUUUAGAGGCAAGUGCAUUAUUAACAAGCUGCUAACAAAAUCCUGAGAACAAAGGGUGUAUCUUAGAUUUAACUGAAUGUAGACAUUCAUAGUAACUAUGGUGGCCUUGGUCAAGCAUAUUGCAAAACAACACCUAUAUGAAACUAGCUGAAAUCUACUUAAGUGCUAACUGAUUUUGCUGAUAACCAGAAAUCUGUUUGUAUGAAGAAACUUGUUGAAACCUAGUUAAGUGUUAACUGAUUUUUCUUGUAACCAGAAACAUGAAAUUGGCUUUGACUGGAACUAGUUGAAAUAUGAAGCGCAAAAACUUGUAGAAACCCAUAUAUCCCAGUUCCAUAUGUGUUCCCUGGAAACUCCGAGAUUUUAAAUGACUUUGAGCGAAUUUGCAUGCCGGGGGAUAUGGCAAUAAAUUGAUAGCAAAGUUUGACAAGAACCUGCGUGAAUACUCCAUUAACCAUCGUGCCCUAAUAUGUUCUUGGCUCCACUACUAGUACUUGUCCUGGCAUAAAUUUGCUUGCAAACAUACUAGCUGAAUUGCUCUAUUAAAGAAAAGCUUUGGAUUGAAUAUUACUUCUAAAGCGAUGAAACGUACACAAAUAAUAGACACCAAAAGGUUGGCCAAACUUUGGUGAAAUGAGCAUAAGAUAUGCAUAUAUGUAACUGCAGAGAAAAUAGUUAGUUCAAGGUAUUUGAAGGAUAUAAGCAAAGUUUUACAAAUCCAGUCUUCCUAAUCAAUUUGAGAAUUCAUCACAAAUUUAAAUUAUCUAAAAAUUCAGACCAUCGACAACAGAUUGACUAAAAAAGGUCAUAUAAAAUUAUGACAAUUGUAAAAGAAAGGAAAAGGGAGAUUACUUGUUUCUUUUACAUCUCCUUAAAUAAAGCUAGGACGUUACAAUCAAUUAAUAUGCCGAGAAUCAAUGAAAUAAACUAAAUAGCCAUCAUAAUUGCCAUCUUGUACAUGAGCUUGUUGUUUAUACUUCGAUAUCUAGUUAAGCAAAGAACAUCUAACACCUAGACAUAUAGUUUAUUCACAUGAGAUUCAAAGCUAUGAAACCAGGCUGCUAAAUAAUCAUAUUAUUUGCACAAGGUAGAGGCUCAUAGAAGAAGACCUUAAUUAAGGCAUCACAUAUGCAAUUCAUAAAUGGUUAUAUGGCAGGAGCCUGUGACUCUGUUGCAAGUACAACCCAAUAACAAAAGACUCAGCUUCAGAAAACACAUGGCAUGCAAAAGCUCAGUUCCAGGACAUGUAAAAGCUUCCAAUAGUUGUAUGCAUAAAAAUGCUAAGCAAAUUCAUCACAUGCGUACAUACACAUGCCAAGCAAAAUCUCGGUUCAUAUGUUUACUGCAGUUUUAUUUGCAUGAAGCAUAUAAGAAACGAAAUGCUAAAUAAGUUUCAUUGUUCUGAAAUAGCAGCAAACAUGUAUCCAAAAGCAAAAUACUGAAUCAAAGACUUAACUACCAAGAUUAUUACCUCCUCAGCUUGCUUGUGGUUGCGUACUCGUGUUGCUGCUUUUGCCAUGAACUUAUAAGUCACUCUCAGCUGCAUAUAUAGAAGCAAAGACUUUUAAGCUAUCAACCAUAAUAGUCAUUGGUAAAUAUAUAAUCAUAAGAGCAUAAGCUUAUGUGCUUGUAUGGAUUAAUCGACGCUGCUUGGUGGAGAGGACAAACAACAUGCACACUGCUCAUAAAACAAAAAAUCCAAAAUAUUAUUUCAGUAAAAGCAUCAAAUGAAAAUUAGGGAACCGUUCGUAAGAAUUACAUAUAGGAGAAAAGAGCAUGGUACUCAGCUAGCCCCAUGACCCAAUUCUUCAAAAAAAAUCUACUUAGGAGCAUAGCUCCCAAUUUCCAUUACUGAAAACAUCACAUGUCUCAAGUUUGUCCCCCUCCAUGGGUACCUCAAAACAUCAGAAACUAAGCCGCACACAGCAGCACUACUACCAAACUAGAUGCAGAACCUAAACAAUGAGCAUCCAAACAUUCUAAUUAUCAGCAACAAAAAAAUAGUCUUAUAUUACUCGUGGCCCUACAUGACAAGGUACUGUACUACCAUGGUUAUAUUACUUGCACAAGCACAUCUUAAGCUAUUUACCAUCUCUGUGAACGUAGCUAUGGAUGAAUUUGUUCUUAAGUGUUAAGCUAAAUAAAAAAAGAGAACUGGGGAUCUGGCAAUUCAGUAAGUCAUGAUGCCAUGCAAUUUCCAGUAGGAGCGACAGUACAAACCAAUUUCUCUCAUUUUACUCUAGAAAAUUAAAUUAUCAGACAAAUGUUUUUCAAUUCAAUAAUAAAGGUUGAAACAAUUGAAGGGAUUUCUACUAUGAUAGACAACUACUGAUCAUUAAAUUCCAGAAUCACAUGAUCGGGAGCAGUGGCAAAAUGGCAAUAGAAAAUUAUAGAAUAAAAUUCCAGAUCAAACCCCAUAUAUCUAUUUUCAUAGAACUAACACAUUCACUAGUUAAAACUAUUAAACUCUAGAAGCGUUACUUCACUUUCAGUCUACAUUUGCAGAAAAAAUAUACAGAAAGAAGUUCUCUAGCUUUAUUUGCAGCACGACCUUUAAACUUAAUUUCCCAAAGCUUGCAUGUAGUACCCCUACUGGGAUUCACUGAUUUAGUAUGUAGUUGAAGGCUUGAAGCAUCCAUUUGCUGCAAUGGAAGAUCUCUUCACCAUAAGCAAAACUUGGUUUAUCGGAUGACAAAGCUAGUCGUUAUCUUCAGAGCUGUAGUGUCAUAUAAACUCAAACACUUUCUGAAGUCGUUCUAGUUACUGCUCAGAAGAAAAAAGGAACAGAAGUUUGCAAAGAUUGAAAUCUCACCGGCCAAGUGCUCUCGGUGAGCAAGGAGGCGGCGCUGCACCUGGGGGAGGAUGUAGAGGAGGUGGAGCUUCUCGGGAGGGGGGCUGUACAGGAAGGCCCGCUGCUCGGGUGAGGGAAACAGGAGGCGACCCCAACUUAGUGCUCAGGGAAGGAUGCUCGUGGAGGAGGAGGCCCUGCUCGGGGGAGAAAGCUUGAGGAGUAGGAGGAGGCCUGCUCGGCGGAGGAAACUUGUGGAGGAGGUCGUUAUUGUGGUGGGGAUGGAGGGCGGACGACGGCUUUCCUCGAGAGAAAGCAGGCGCUGGGUGCGCGGGGGAUGGGGACGAACCGAUGAAGGGUUUCCUUGUUAGAGAAGGGUGCUCGGCGACGACUAGGCGGUCGGCGGCGUCUGUGUUUGGGGACGAAGCCGGCGCUGCGGUCGAGUGGUUGGUGGUGGCGGCGGCGUGGUUGGGGUUGAGGGUUAGGUUUUGGAAGAGCCGGGGAAGAACUGGUCAGGGGCUCAGGGCGACGAGCCCACGACC